rnacentral:tRNA from 2 species
GCGAAAGUGGCGGAAUUGGUAGACGCGCUGGACUUAGGAUCCAGUGGCCGAAAGGCCAUAGGGGUUCGAUUCCCCUCUUUCGCA